GACAGAGGAGCCAAGCGUUGUCCGGACUGACUGGGCGUAAAGCGCCCGCAGGCGGCCGUGCACGUGGGGUGUGAAAGCUCGCGGCUUAACUGCGAGAGGCCAUCCCAUACGGCGCGGCUCGAGCCGUCCAGAGGCCGGUGGAAUUGCCGGUGUAGUGGUGAAAUGCGUAGAUAUCGGGAGGAACACCUAUGGCGAAAGCACCUGCCUGGGCCUUUUCUGACGCUAAGACUCGAAAGCCGGGGGAGCAAACAGG
rnacentral:rRNA from 1 species